UGAAAUCUGGCCCUUGGGUCCGAGUUGUAAUUUGUAGAGGAUGCUUUUGGUGCGGUACCUUCCGAGUUCCCUGGAACGGGACGCCAUAGAGGGUGAGAGCCCCGUCUGGUUGGAUACCAAUCCUCUGUAAAGCUCCUUCGACGAGUCGAGUAGUUUGGGAAUGCUGCUCUAAAUGGGAGGUAUAUGUCUUCUAAAGCUAAAUAUUGGCCAGAGACCGAUAGCGCACAAGUAGAGUGAUCGAAAGAUGAAAAGCACUUUGAAAAGAGGGUUAAACAGUACGUGAAAUUGUUGAAAGGGAAGCGCUUGUGACCAGACUUGGGCCCGGUUAAUCAUCCACCGUUCUCGGUGGUGCACUUGGCCGGCCCAGGCCAGCAUCAGUUCGGCGCGGGGGAUAAAGGCUUCGGGAAUGUGGCUCCUCCGGGAGUGUUAUAGCCCGUUGUGUAAUACCCUGUACUGGACUGAGGUUCGCGCAUCUGCAAGGAU
rnacentral:rRNA from 2 species